GGCUCCAUAGUGUAGUGGUUAGCACGUCUGCUUUGCAUGCAGAAGGUCCUGGGUUCA
rnacentral:tRNA from 1 species